rnacentral:rRNA from 1 species
AUUGAACGCUGGCGGCAGGCUUAACACAUGCAAGUCGAACGGUAGCAGGAGAAAGCUUGCUUUCUUGCUGACGAGUGGCGGACGGGUGAGUAAUGCUUGGGAAUCUGGCCUAUGGAGGGGGGAUAACGACGGGAAACUGUCGCUAAUACCGCGUAUUAUCGGAAGGUGAAAGUGCGGGACUGAGAGGCCGCAUGCCAUAGGAUGAGCCCAAGUGGGAUUAGGUAGUUGGUGGGGUAAAGGCCUACCAAGCCUGCGAUCUCUAGCUGGUCUGAGAGGAUGACCAGCCACACUGGAACUGAGACACGGUCCAGACUCCUACGGGAGGCAGCAUUUUUUUUUUUAUUGCACAAUGGGGGGAACCCUGAUGCAGCCAUGUCCGCGUGAAUCAAGAAAGGGCUUGGGGUUGUGUAUUCCAUUCUCUAUUGAGGACGGGGUGAUGUGUUGUUCGCACUUCAGAUUGGCGUUUUUAUAUAGG